CAGUCGCCGCGGGAAUACGGAGGGAGCUAGCGUUGCUCGGAAUUACUGGGCGUAAAGCGUGCGUAGGCGGUGAGUUAAGUCUGCUGUGAAAUCCCCCGGCUCAACCUGGGAAUGGCAGUGGAUACUGGCUCGCUAGAGUGUGUCAGAGGAUGGUGGAAUUCCCGGUGUAGCGGUGAAAUGCGUAGAGAUCGGGAGGAACAUCAGUGGCGAAGGCGGCCAUCUGGGACAACACUGACGCUGAGGCACGAAAGCGUGGGGAGCAAACAGGAUUAGAUACCCCCGUAGUCCCUGUCUCUUAUAC
rnacentral:rRNA from 1 species